AUCCUACGGGAGGCAGCAGUAGGGAAUAUUGCUCAAUGGGGGAAACCCUGAAGCAGCAACGCCGCGUGGAGGAUGAAGGUUUUAGGAUUGUAAACUUCUUUUGUCAGGGAGCAAUUGGGUCCACGUGUGGGCUUAGCGAGAGUACCUGAAGAAAAAGCAUCGGCUAACUCCGUGCCAGCAGCCGCGGUAAUACGGAGGAUGCGAGCGUUAUCCGGAUUUAUUGGGUUUAAAGGGUGCGUAGGCGGAAUAUCAAGUCAGCGGUAAAAAUUCGGGGCUCAACCCCGUCGUGCCGUUGAAACUGAUGU
rnacentral:rRNA from 1 species